UGCAAGGUAGAGCAGUCUGGUAGCUCGUGGGGCUCAUAAUCCCGAGGACAUUGGUUCAAAUCCAAUCCUUGCAC
rnacentral:tRNA from 1 species